UCUGUGUUUAUGUGUGUGUGUGUGUGUGUGUAUAUAUACAUAUACACACACACACACACACUAAUAAACACAGACC